rnacentral:rRNA from 1 species
GACGGGACCGCACAAGCAGCGAGCAUGUGGUUUAAUUCGAAGCAACGCGAAGAACCUUACCAGAUCUUGACAUCCAAUUGACCAUCUUUUAAUCGAGAUUUUGCCUUCGGGUACAAUUGAGACAGGUGGUGCAUGGUUGUCGUCAGCUCGUGUCGUGAGAUGUUGGGUUAAGUCCCGCAACGAGCGCAACCCUUAUCUUUAGUUGCCAUCAGGUGAAGCUGGGCACUCUAGAGAGACUGCCGGUGACAAACCGGAGGAAGGUGGGGAUGACGUCAAAUCAUCAUGCCCCUUAUGUCCUGGGCUACACACGUACUACAAUGGCCGGUACAAAGGGCGGCGAAGGGGUGACCCGGAGCAAAUCCCAGCAAAACCGGUCUCAGUUCGGAUUGUAGUCUGCAACUCGACUACAUGAAGUCGGAAUCGCUAGUAAUCGCAGGUCAGCAUACUGCGGUGAAUACGUUCCCGGGCCUU